CAAAUCAGCGUGUCAUGCGCAGAAACGUAAGAAAGUGUGCCGUUUUGGCGAGAUUUUAGCGGGUUUUUAAAAUUUAUCAGGAAGCUGAAUUUGGAUUGGAAUGACGAGGAAUUAUUUCACUCUGGCGUGCCUAAUCGUACAUGACUUUGAGGAGACGACGUGCGCUACCAUCCCAGCACGUCGUAUUUGAAUAUGGACAAAAAAACAGAUCAGACAUUAGCAACUGCUAUUGAUCCUCAAAUAGGGGCCGAGCUGUCUGUUUUGAACGCCGCUGCCCGGUCGAUCCCAUCUGACCUACUGUUCACAAGCCACCACUUGACAGCGCAGACUCUUCAGAGGCCUGCCUGAUGCCCAUCAGCAUGAGGGACUCAAGUCUUCAUCCUCCAUCAUUACAGCACAAAGACAUCUGGACGAUUGUCAAGGACGUCACAAUCUCUGUGAUAGCUGACAUAUCCCAUGGGGCAUUGCAGGAAAAGGAAAGCAAAAUCACUCUUGCGUGAGCAAAUACAGUAUGGGUGGCUCCAUUAAUGCAGUUAUCUUGCAGUGCUGUCUGGUAGGUAGCUGCUUCUAGAUAUUACAGGUUUCCACACUUUCAAUUACAAUCUUCACUGUUACAUCUACACUUUAGGGGUAUAACAGCUGUUAUGUUGUUUGCUAACCUUUAUGUUCCCUCAGCAUGAAAGUAUAUUUUUAUCAA